AGCGAACGCUGGCGGCAGGCCUAAUACAUGCAAGUCGAACGCCCCUUCGGGGGAGUGGCGGACGGGUGAGUAACGCGUGGGAAUAUGCCCUAUGGGGCGGAACAACUGAGGGAAACUUCAGCUAAUAGCGCAUGUGCCCUGCGGCGGAAAGAUUUAUCGCCGUAGGAGUAGCCCGAGUUGGAUUAGCUAGUUGGUGGGGUAAUGGAUCACCAAGGCUACGAUCCAUAGCUGGUCUGAGAGGAUGAUCAGCCACACGGGGACUGAGAAACGGCCCAGACUCCUACGGGAGGCAGAAGUAGGUAAUCUUGCGCAAUGGGCGAAAGCCUGACGCAGCCAUGACGCGUGAAUGAUGAAGGUCUUAGGAUUGUAAAAUUCUUUCACCGGGGCCGAUAAUGACGGUACCCGGAGAAGAAGCUCCGGCUAACUUCGUGCCAGCCGCCGCCGUAACAC
rnacentral:rRNA from 1 species